rnacentral:misc_RNA from 1 species
CACAGUCCAAACUCACGAAACCUGUUUCAAAAGUUAAGAUAUGUUCAUGCAAUCUAUUUAUAAUGGAAGAAGGAUUAAUUCUCAAUAUUGUGUGAACACUUUGGCAAGAAGCUGGAUUUUAAAAUGAGAUAUUUUAGUCAUUCAUGGCAACAACACACAGACCGAUUUUUGAUUAGUGGGGUAAAACUGAAAAUAAUAAAGAAAUAAAUUAACUGAGAAAAUAUCAAGAGAUUAGUGACAGAGAUAUGUUGACUUCCCAUUCCAGAAAAGGAAGACUGAAUAAUUAAUAUCCACUUCCCAUUCCAGGUCAACAAGCACAUGCUUGAGUAUGUUGACUUCAUUCAGUGCAAAAUCCUGCUUCAGCAAGCAUCUAGCCAUCUAAGAAAAUCUAAGCUGAACCUCUCUAUGGAUCAAAAGAAACCAUGUAAAGUGUAGCUAGCAAGUAAUCCAUUAAGAAAUGUGAUUAGCAUCUCUAUUCGCAUACAAUUAAGGAAGUGUUUGUCAUACAAGAUUUAAGUUUCUGGAUAAAAGAAUGAAAAUUCAGGAUCUAGGUCUCUCAAAUUUGAGCGGCCCAUAACCAGCAACGUAAAGGAAAAUUAACCAAAGAACAUUCCUUUCACUUUCAUUCUUAUCAAUCACAUUAAAAGAUGAGGAAAGUUCUGCAGCCUCUAAUUCUUAAAACCAAUUCAGAUAUCAACAAUACAAAGACAUGA